GACGAACGCUGGCGGCGUGCCUAAUACAUGCAAGUUGAGCGCUGAAGGUUGGUACUUGUACCAACUGGAUGAGCAGCGAACGGGUGAGUAACGCGUGGGGAAUCUGCCUUUGAGCGGGGGACAACAUUUGGAAACGAAUGCUAAUACCGCAUAAAAACUUUAAACACAAGUUUUAAGUUUGAAAGAUGCAAUUGCAUCACUCAAAGAUGAUCCCGCGUUGUAUUAGCUAGUUGGUGAGGUAAAGGCUCACCAAGGCGAUGAUACAUAGCCGACCUGAGAGGGUGAUCGGCCACAUUGGGACUGAGACACGGCCCAAACUCCUACGGGAGGCAGCAGUAGGGAAUCUUCGGCAAUGGACGAAAGUCUGACCGGGCAACGCCGCGUGAGUGAAGAAGGUUUUCGGAUCGUAAAACUCUGUUGGUAGAGAAGAACGUUGGUGAGAGUGGAAAGCUCAUCAAGUGACGGUAACUACCCAGAAAGGGACGGCUAACUACGUG
rnacentral:rRNA from 1 species